rnacentral:rRNA from 2 species
GCGGACGGGUGAGUAACACGUGGGCAACCUGCCUGUAAGAUCGGGAUAACGCCGGGAAACCGGGGCUAAUACCGGAUAGUUUUUUCCUCCGCAUGGAGGAAAAAGGAAAGACGGCUUCGGCUGUCACUUACAGAUGGGCCCGCGGCGCAUUAGCUUGUUGGUGGGGUAACGGCUCACCAAGGCAACGAUGCGUAGCCGACCUGAGAGGGUGAUCGGCCACAUUGGGACUGAGACACGGCCCAAACUCCUACGGGAGGCAGCAGUAGGGAAUCUUCCGCAAUGGACGAAAGUCUGACGGAGCAACGCCGCGUGAGUGAAGAAGGCCUUCGGGUCGUAAAACUCUGUUGCCGGGGAAGAACAAGUGCCGUUCGAACAGGGCGGCGCCUUGACGGUACCCGGCCAGAAAGCCACGGCUAACUACGUGCCAGCAGCCGCGGUAAUACGUAGGUGGCAAGCGUUGUCCGGAAUUAUUGGGCGUAAAGCGCGCGCAGGCGGCUUCUUAAGUCUGAUGUGAAAUCUUGCGGCUCAACCGCAAGCGGUCAUUGGAAACUGGGAGGCUUGAGUGCAGAAGAGGAGAGUGGAAUUCCACGUGUAGCGGUGAAAUGCGUAGAGAUGUGGAGGAACACCAGUGGCGAAGGCGGCUCUCUGGUCUGUAACUGACGCUGAGGCGCGAAAGCGUGGGGAGCAAACAGGAUUAGAUACCCUGGUAGUCCACGCCGUAAACGAUGAGUGCUAAGUGUUAGAGGGUUUCCGCCCUUUAGUGCUGCAGCUAACGCAUUAAGCACUCCGCCCUGGGGGAGUACAGCCGCAAGAGCUGCAAACUCAACGUAAUUAGACGGGGCGCGCCGCACCAGCUGAUGCAGCAUGAUGGUCUUGAAUACGAAUCGACGCGU